UACGUAGGGUGCGAGCGUUGUCCGGAAUUAUUGGGCGUAAAGGGCGCGUAGGCGGCUAGAUGUGUCAAAGGUGAAAUCCCUCGGCUCAACUGAGGAACUGCCUUUGAAACUGUCUGGCUUGAGGCCGGGAGAGGGUAGCGGAAUUCCCAGUGUAGCGGUGAAAUGCGUAGAUAUUGGGAGGAACACCAGUGGCGAAGGCGGCUACCUGGACCGGUUCUGACGCUGAGGCGCGAAAGCGUGGGUAGCAAACAGG
rnacentral:rRNA from 1 species